GGGGAAGCCGGUGCAAAUCCGGCGCUGACCCGCAACCGUGAGCGGUCCCGCGCAGGGUUCCGUGAGCCGGACUGCCC
rnacentral:ncRNA from 1 species